AUUGAACGCUGGCGGCGUGCCUAAUACAUGCAAGUCGAACGCAGUUGCGAACGGGUGAGUAACGCGUAGGUAACUGCCUCCUAGCGGGGGAUAACUAUUGGAAACGAUAGCUAAUACCGCAUCCUGUGAGAUGGACCUGCGUGGUAUUAGCUAGUUGGUGAGGUAAAGGCUCACCAAGGCGACGAUACAUAGCCGACCUGAGAGGGUGAUCGAGCACACGGGGACUGGAACACGGCCCAGGCCCCUACGGGAAGCAGCAGUAGGGAAUCUUAGGAAAUGGACGGAAGUCUGACCGAGCAACGCCGCGGGAGUGAAGAAGGUUAUCGGAUCGUAAAGCUCUGUUGUUAGAGAAGCGGUAACUAAUCAGAAAGGGACGGCUAACUCCGUGCCAGCAGCCGCGGUAAUAC
rnacentral:rRNA from 1 species